AGUCCAAUGGUCUAGCGGUAUGACGUCUGCUUCACAAGCACAGGGCGCAGAAGGUCCUGGGUUCGACCCCCAGUUGGACUA